rfam:Ictidomys tridecemlineatus contig036432, whole genome shotgun sequence.
GGGGUUGUGGCUCUAUGGUAGAGCACUCACCUAGCACGUGUGAGGGCCUGGGUUCGAUCCUCAGAACCACA